CCAGCCCCGGGCGCGGUAGCCCUAGCCCGCCUUAGCUGUAGGGGUUCUCUGGAUAGAGGCCUCAGUUUGGAGGUUAAAAGUACAGCUCAAAUGCCAGGGAUGGAGGUGAGCCUCCAAGGAAAUUGCACCUCUGAAGAGAAGUCGUAGUCUGAAGAGAAGCUUUAGCUUCCAGCUCCUUUCAGACAUCUUCUGAACGGCUGUUUGGAGGAAAAGCUGGUAGUGCUGGAUCAGUCAACAGACAAAUAGGACAAAGCUGACUUAGAGGUCCUCAGAGCAUUGGCACUGGCAAGAUCAGAGAGAUGGGGAAUUACUUGUGCUGAAGCAAUUCCAGACCCUCUUGAGCAAGGAAUCUAAAAUUCGUCUGAAAAUAAUGAAAACUCUGUGUCUCUGGAAGAUUUAACCCAAAUGAGGAGAUAAGUAUGACUUACAGAAAGCAUACACUAAUGGACUAGACUCAGAAGAAGGCAGUCGGCAAAGUGAAAGAUUCUCCCUCCCCUCACAAUGGUGCACAAAGGAGAGAGUCUGGCUACCAUGCUUCUGACUGCAAGGCACCAGCCAUCUUGGAUUAUGAAGUCAAGUUCAUACAUGAUGGACCAACAAGAUAGAAGAGCCUGGGUCCCUGAUGCUUUGGAAUGCCAUGGCAGCCCUCACCACCUACCUAGACUUUUUGUGUGGUCCCUGGUUAAGUCACUGUUAUUUUGAGGUUUUGGUUAGUUAUAACUGAACUGAGUCUUAAUUAAUGAAAGUAUAUUUCCAACAAAGUGAAUAAUACAAUCAAAUGCUAAGAAAUGAGACUAGUUCAGCUGAUAAAUGAGAAGUUCAGCUGGUAGAAAUAAAGCCGUUGUGCUAGAAAAUAGAAGAAAAUAAGACUAAAUUAUAUGGUAGUCUAGAUUGUGACAAAAGAAGCACCAAUGGGCCAGCUGAGUAAUUUGUAAUUUAUCUUGCAUAUAAACUAGAGCCAAUGGAGUAUUUUUUAAAAGAAAUAGGCCAUAGUGAAUGUAAUGUUUGAGAAUGAAAUUAUAACCAAAUGGAUAUAUGAGGUAAAGGAAAGUGAAGAAUUGAAAAUGGUAUGCUGGUAUCCUUGAGAAAUGGAGUCCUGAGGAAGAAGGGACAUAUUUAGGAUUGAGUUAGUUCUGAAGAUAUUGCAUUUGAGAUGAUAAGAACAUGAAGUGAACAUGGUUUAUGGGUAACUGAAGAUUCAGAACUAGAGCUUGAGGUGUCAGUUCUUUAUUUAGAGGAACAGUGCUAAUAGCUGAAACAAAAAGAAUAUAGAGAGAAUUGCCAUGCCCAAGGCCUGAGCUUUGAGAAAUACUCCCAUAAAAAGCAUAAAAGGUAGAAGGUAUCAUGAAAGAUCAGAGAGAUAGAAGAGCCAGAAUAAAAGGAAGGGGGAUGUAUGGACAAGGAGUGAGUUUCAUGACAUGAAGGAUGUCAUCAAAUCCAGCAGAAAAACUGAAAAGAAUGAGGACAAAGAUAGUGGACAAAGAUAGUGGGUUUAGGUGUAGCAAAGGGAGUAAUUGUGAUCUCAAAGGCUGAAUCUCAGAAAUAGCCUGGGAAAACUAAAGAUUUGCAGUUCCACAAGGAAGGAAUUUUUGAGUCUUCAAGAAAAGAAAUCCUAGCAGGCUGUAGUGUAUAGAAGGAGAGACUAAAGUAUAAUUGGGGCUUUUGCUAGUUGGUCCCAAGCUUAUUUAUGUGGUUAAUGAGAUCAUUUACUCACAGUGAGGGUGGAGUGUGGAGGAGAUUGAAGAAAAAUCUGAAUGAUACCCAUCAGAGAAGAGAAUAACCUAGGGAGUCCAUGUAAUACAAAUAGUAGUGUUGUCUAACAGCAGUGAGGGAUAUAUUGAAGAUGGUCUGAGAGAACUUUUAUUUAUUUAUUUUUACCAAGUCAAUAUAUCAAUUGAGAAUGCUUUUGGCUACAAAUAACAGAACAUUUAAAGUAAUAGCUUAAACUAUAGUCUACAGCAGAGUAUGGCAAAGUAGGGCCUAUAGGCCAAAUCUGGCCUGUUUAUGUAAAUAAAAUUUUAAUGGAACACAGCCAUGCCAUUUGUUUACAUAUUGUCUGUGGCUGCUAGAGCACUAUAAUGGCAGAAUUGAGUAAUUGGGACAUAGACUGGAUGGCCUGUAAAGCCUAAAUUAUUUACUGUCUUUUCCUUUACAGAAGACAUUUGCCACCGCUGGUCUAGACUAGAGGAACAUUUAGUGCCUACUCAACCAGAAGUCUAAAGAUAGACAGAUUCAAGGUUGAUUCACUGGUUCAAUAAUAUAAGGAAAUUAUUAUCCCUGCAUAUCUCUUCCUUAUUUCUUAUUGUUGCAAGAUGGCUGCCACAGCUCCAACCAUCAUUCUACAGUGUUUAAUGCAGGAAGAAAAGGCAAGAGAUAUGUGGCAGAUGGCCAUUUUCUCCUAAAGUGAUUUUUUUCCUUUUAUUAAGGAGCAAAAACUUCUAAGAAGUGCCCAUCAGUGCCCUUAACUUUUCAUUGGCCCAAACCAUGAGACACUGAGAAAUAUUACUGCAUAGAAUACACAAGUGAUGAUAGUUCUCUUUCCCUAAGAUCCAGUAGGUCAUAUUUCCAGUGUUUAACGGGUGAGGAGAGGAAAAGGAACACACAGAGGAGAUAUAGGAAGAGUAGUCCUUCAGCUACAAGAAGAAGUAGAAGUGAGAAUUGUUGAGGAAGACAAGGAAGUGGAGAGUUAAAAGAAAGAGGAGCAACCAAGCAGAGAUUCUAUAAGAUAAGGACAAAAAAUGCCCACAAUAUUUGGCAAUUGAGUGGCCGCUGCUGACUUUAGUCUUUGCCGCAGUCUUUUAGACUUUGAGAGCAGAAGUCAGACUGAAGUUGAAAGUAAGGAAGUCAAACAGUGUAAGAAAGGGGAAAAAAAAGACUGAAUAAAUAUUAACCAGAAGAAAGAUAUGGGUUAAAGAAAGGGAAUUUUAGGUUGAGAAAUGACCUGAAUAUUUUUAAAGGACAAGGAGAAAGAGCCAUUGAGAUGAGAGAGUUGAGGAUGCAAAGAAGAGACUGACUGCUGGAGUGAGAUUCCAAAGGAGACGAGAUGAGGUCAGAGGUGCAGAAGAUAAGAUUAGCCUGGGGCAGGAGGGAUGCUUAAUCUCUGGGGUUGGAGGAAAACAGGUGAAGCGAUGUGUAGAAAGAAACAAAAGUACCAGUUUGGGUGCUUUCAUAUGCUAGUAACUGAAUACUAAUGAGAGGUAUCUUUAGCAGGAAUUUUUAAAUCAUACACAAGAAAUCCAGAGGUAGUUACAGCGUUGAUUAAUUCAGCCACUAAAUGUGGAAAGUUCUGGAAUGGCUUCUCUAUGAUUCUCUUAGCUUUCUCCUCUUAGUUGCAAGAUGCGUGCCACAGAUUCAAGCCCCAUGUCCUCUCAUAACAAUGUUCAAAGGUGGGCCGGGGUAAGAAUUCUUAUCUUUCCCUGUCUGUCUUUUUUUUCUUUUGUUCUUUUUAUUUUAAUGUUUCAAACCUAUUAAAAAUUUGCAAUAAUAAUGCGAGGAACUCCCAUAUGCUCUUCAUCUAGAUUCAGCAAUUGUUUACAUUUUGCAUCAUUUGCUUUAUAAUUCUGUGUGUGUAUAAUUUUUUUCUGAAUCAUAUCUAAGCAUGUUGCCAGCCCGAUGCUUUUUUUCACUCCCAUAUACUUCUAUGUAUUUCCUAAAAACAAGGAUAUUCUCUUACAGUCAUAGUAUAAUAUCAAAAUGUGGAAAAUUAACAUUGAUACAAUAUAAUUAUUUAAUCCACAAUCCAUAUUCAAAUUUCUCCUUGGUUGUACCACUAAUGUCCUAUAUAGCUACCUUUUCCCCUUGUCCAGGAUCCAGGCUGGACUCACUUGUAUUAAGUUGCCAUGUAUUUAGGCUCCUUUGGAAUAGUUCCUUAGGUUACUUAGCUUCUUUGUCUUUCUUGUUUUAACAUGUUUGAAGAGCACAGGCCAGUAAUUUUGUAGACUGUCCCUCAAUUUGGAUCUUCCUGAUAUUUCCUCAUGAAUAGAUUUAGGUCGCGCAGUUUGUGCAGGAAUAACAGUGUGGUGUGGUAUCCUUCACCAUGCAUGAUAUCAGGCUUCACAUGAUAUCUAUUUGUCCCAAUAUUGGUGAUAUUAACCUUGAUUACUUAACAGUUUUCACCACUGUUAAAUUAUUUUUUCCCUUGGUAGUUCGUAAGCAAUUUGUGGUGAGACACUUUGACAGUAUGUAAAUAUCCUAUACUUCAUCAACCUUUCACCCAUUAGUGUUAUUAUCCAUUGAUGAUUUUUAAAUUCCGUCAUUCCUUCUACAUUUAUUAGUUGGCAUUCUCCUGUAGGGAAGAACUCUCCCUUCACUUAUAUUCAUUUAUUUAUUUAUAUCAGUAUAGCCUUAUGGAUUCUUAUUUUAGUCAAUGAGAUAUAAUCCAUUAUUAUCAUUAUUUAUUUUAAUGCUUAAAGCAUCUCAGAUUUGGCCAAUGGCAGUCCCUACAGUCUGGCUUCUGUGUUCUUUUAACACGUCCUCAUUAUUUUUGGAGCAGUUCCUUGUUUUUUGGCACAAGAUAUUUGGGGCUUAUCUUGUUCUUUCCCUGACCCAGCCAGUCUUCAAAUCAGCUAUUACUCUACAGAGCUCCAUUUUAGUGGAGCAUGAAAUUUAGACAUGAAGGUUGGGACACUAAGUGCCACUCUUCUUCUGGGGUGUCAUUGCCUCUAGGCCCUGUCAGUAACAGAGCUAACAAAUAAGUCCUCCCCACCCCAUUUACAUAUAUAUACACACAUCUAUUUUUGUAUCAUCUGUAGAUAGAUAUAAAGCCAUGAGUUUUUACUGAUAACUCCAAUUUCAGUCCAUCAAUAAAGAGUUCAUUGUAUUCUGCUGUCUUUCCGUAAUUAUUACUCACUUUUCUAAACCUGUCUCCCAUUUGCCUCCACUUAUUUAGUCAUUUGCUCAAGCCUAGAAUACACAGGCAUUAUUUUCAGAUUUCCUAAUCCAUACAACUGUAAUAGAAAACCUACUAACUAGAGUUUGACAUUUGUUUACAGUUCUUUUUUGAGAUAAGAUUACAUACAGUGAAAUGCACAGAUGAUAUGUUUAAAUUUGAUAAAUUUUAAUAAAUGCUUAUACCCAUUUAAUAACCACCUUAAUCAAGACAUAGAAUAUUUCUAUUAACCCACAAAGUUUCUUCAUUCUCCCAAUCAGUUCCCACCCCACUCCCUGUAAGCAACCACUGUUCUGAUUUUUAUCUCAAUAGAUUUUGCCUGUUCUUGAACUUAAUGUACAUGGAAUCCUAUUAUUAUGUUCUCUAUUGUGUCUGCUGUUUUCCCUCAACAUGAUGUUUUGCAGAUUUAUCCAUAUCCUGGGUGUAUCAGUAUUGCAUUCCUAUUUAUUGCUGAGUAGUAUUGAUUGUGUGAAUAGACCACAGUUUAUUUGUUCAUUUACUUUUUGAUGGACAGUCAAGUUUUUUCCAGUUUUUGGCAAUUAGGA